rnacentral:pre_miRNA from 1 species
UCUCAUGGAUGACCAAAGAAAGUGGAUUCUUGAGAUGGUAUCUAUUCCUGGUGAAGACGCUGUGAA